UACGAAGGGGGCUAGCGUUGUUCGGAAUUACUGGGCGUAAAGCGCACGUAGGCGGAUAUUUAAGUCGGGGGUGAAAUCCCGGGGCUCAACCCCGGAACUGCCUUCGAUACUGGGUAUCUUGAGUUCGGAAGAGGUGAGUGGAAUUGCGAGUGUAGAGGUGAAAUUCGUAGAUAUUAGGAAGAACACCAGUGGCGAAGGCGGCUCACUGGUCCGGUACUGACGCUGAGGUGCGAAAGCGUGGGGAGCAAACAGG
rnacentral:rRNA from 1 species